rnacentral:lncRNA from 1 species
AGAAAAAAAAGGGGUUAAGGGGUGGAAUGACCCACAUUUCUAAAAAUGGGUGGGAUUAGCUAACUCCACCUCAAAUGGGUUAUUUCGGAUUAGCUAACCCCACCUCAAAUGGGUUAUCCCGGAUUAGCUAACCCCACCUAACCCCACCAAACCCCAACCAAACACUAUUUUCUAUUCAUAAUAACCUACUAUUCUUCUUAUCCCAGCUACUCCAACCAAACACUAUUUUUUACUAUCCUGGACUAACUCCAACCCCCAACCAAACACAAAAAUACUCUAACCAGAAUAACUAAUUUUUCCUUAACCCCGAACCAAACGGUAAAAUUUUUUUGGCUAAAUUAUAGAAACCGUCUUUUCACUUUUCUCCCCUGUCAUUUAAAACCCAUACUUUAUCCCCUUAGCUGGUGUUUGGUUGGGGGUUAAAGUGGAGGUAUAAGCGGGUUAAAGCCCCUUUAACCCCAAAUACUAUUUUUUAAUUAGGAUAACCCAUUUGGGGUGGGGUUAACAAACAAUGGGGUAGGGUUAACAAACUCCACCCCACCAUAGAAUUGGUGUGGGAUUAAAGUUAAUCCCACCCCAAUUCAAUUUAAAAUAUAAUUUUAAAUUACAAAUUUUAAAAAUUUAUAAUUCGUAACCAAAAAAUUAAUAUUUUUAAUUUUUAAUUUUAAAAUUUUAAAAUUUAAAUUUUAUUAUUUAAAUUUUAAAUUUGAUAUUUUAUAUUUGAAAUUUUUAAAAUGUUUAAUUUAUAAUCUUAUAAUUAAUAUUUAUAUUUUUAAAUUAUAAAUUUUAAAUUAUUAUUUAUAAUUAUUCAAAUUUUAAAUUUAAUAUUUUAUACUUGACAUUUUAAAAAUUUAUAAUUUGUAAUCUUAAAAUAUAUAUUUAUAUUUUUAAAAGUUAUCUAGUUAAAUUUAAAAUUUUAAAUAUAAAACAAUAAAUUUAAAUUCAAAAUAUAAAAAUUGGGAUAAAUUUAUUAUUUUUCUAUUUAUAACAACUCACUAUCCUUUUUAUUCAACCUAGUCCAACCAAACACUAUUUUACUUAUACCUGGACUAAACCCAAUUCUCAACCAAACACAAAAUUACUUUAACCUUAUCUUAACCCUGAACUUAACCUUAUCCCUGGAAUAACUAGUUCUUACUUAAUCCCGAAGCAAACGAAUUAAGAAAUGAAAAAUGAUCAAGAGGGGUACAUUGUGACAAAAUAACCAAAUUGUUUCUCAUCUUCUUCAGGGUGGGCGUGAAUGGAGAGGUGGACGAGGAUGAGGCGGCGGAGAUAGGCGAGGGCGUUUGGGUGGGCAUGGACAGAGAUCGGGGUGGGCGAGGGCGAGGCGGCAUGGCGGAGGGCAAGAAAGGAUAAGAAUUUCUGAAAUAUUUUGGGUAUAAAAAAUAGAAUAUAAAUGAAACCCUAACGGAACACGUACUGACGGCGGGGUCAAAGUGAACAUUUUUUAUUUUUUAAGAGAGCAAAAUAUAGGUUUUUGAAUGACAGAGGGGAAAGUGAGAAAAGGGAUAUUGACUGAGAAAUUUUUUGUUAUUUAGCCAAUUUUAUUUUUAUGCUUUUCUAUGUAGUUUGGUGUUUAAAAAAAUAUCACUAUACUUUUUAUUACUCUUUUUAUCAAGCUCUUUUUUUUUUUCUUAAAUUUAUUUUCUCUGUUUUAGACGUAAAAAGUCCGAGCCCGGCAAUCAAUACAUGCCAAGAAAAAAGAGGUUUCUUUGGCCCAAGUCAACUAUGGCUUGUGCAAAGUAUUACAUGAGUAAUUCGAAAAAAAAAAAAAAAAAAAAAAAGCAUCCUACUACAAUUCAAAACUCUUAAACCAAAUAUUUUACUUUUGAAACUAGAAGAGUGAUACCGACUGUCCCUAGAGCAAUUGGCAAAGGGCUUGAUAGUUGAUAUCCGAGACCCAAGUUUGAAUCCUAGUUGAUUCACAUUUAGUUUAUUUCUAAAUAAAAUAAACGAAUCAGAUAGCGUGCUACCUAUCUCUCAAAAAAAUAGUAUUUUCACAUUUAUGUUUAACACUGUUUUUUUGUGCGACUUUACAACUUGAUAGACCCAAGAGCCAGGAAAGCGAAUGCUUCUCUCUGAAAACUAAAGCUGUUAGUAGUUUAAUAUUUUAAAAAAACUUCAAAUACCACCGCUAUAGUUUCACACUAUUUUUUUUAGUACUUUGUGGUUUAAAAUGUAUCGAUUUAGUACCCCGUGGCUUUAUUUUAUUUUUUAUUAUCCCUUCUACUAUUUUUUUUUUCGUUAAAUCAGUCUUAAAAUUAAAACUAAAAUGUACUAAAGUGAAUAUUCGAUAAACCUAAAUGGGGUAUCUGAAGUUUUUUGUAUAUAAUUUAACGAAAUUUUACAGAGGAGCUGACGAAAAAAGAAAAAUGAAACCACCGGUUAUUAAAUUGAUACAUUUAAACCACAGGGUAUAAGUGAAAAAGUGCGAAAUCAUUGGGGUGAUAUUUGAAGUUUGCCCUAAAAUUUAAUAUUUUGUUACAUGCACCACCUAAACUUUGAAAAUUAAACAUUUGCCAUCCGGACUUUUAUUUAUUUUUUUAAUCAGUAAUUAAUUACCACUUGAGUUUAUAUUCGCAUCAAUGUAGAGUCAUUAAUUAAUAUUAGCUAAAUAAGCAAGAAAGAAUAAAUAACACAUACUUGUGAAAUAUACGGGUCUUGUUGAUGCUAAGAAUUUCUCUAGUUAUUACAUUUUACUUUUAAAAGUUCAAUAAUAAAAGAGAAAUUUUUUUUUUACUAUAAAAUUGAAUCGCGAUGUUCAAAAGGUUUUUCUAUAUAUAAUGGAGACUAGCUUACAUUUUUUUUUUAUAUUUUGACCAUUUCACUAAUGUUACGUCACUUCAUAUUGAUUAAAUACAAAUCUAGAUAGUUGAUUGUGAAAAGCUUGAAAAGUUUGGAUUACAAAUAUAACAUUUAUAAAGUUGAGUUGUUAUCUGUAAAUUGGCAAAAAUUUAUUGAUUGUGGUGCAAUAAAUCGUUAUAUAUAUAUAUAUAUAGAGAGAGAGAGAGAGAGAGAGAGAGAGAGUUGAGCUAUAUAGAAUACUUGUAAAAGUAUUAUGAGAGUGGUGCUUUUGAGUUUUUAGCCAUUGGAUGGAGAGAUGUGAGGUUGAGAUGAUGGUGAUAGGUGGUGGUAGGUGGAAUAGUGUUUGAUCCAAGGGCUAUUAGUAAUCAAGGAGUAGAUCCAAUGGCUAAAAACCUAAUAGCAUCAUGGCGGUAAUACUUGUAAAAGUAUUCUAGCUCAAUUAUAUAUAUAUAUAUAUAUAUAUAUAUAGNAAUAUAUAUUUAUAUUUUUAAAAGUUAUCUAGUUAAAUUUAAAAUUUUAAAUAUAAAACAAUAAAUUUAAAUUCAAAUAUAAAAAUUGGGAUAAAUUUAUUAUUUUCUAUUUACAACAACUCAUUAUUUUCUUAUUCAACCUACUCCAACCAAACACUAUUUUACUUAUAUCUGGACUAAACCUAAUUCUCAACCAAACACAAAAUUACUCUAACCCUAUCUUAACCCUGAACUUAAUCUUAUCCCUGAGAUAACUAGUUUUUACUUAAUUCCGAACCAAACGAAACCUAAUUAAGAAUGAAAAAUGAUCAAGAGGGAUACAUUGUGACAAAAUAACGAAAUUGUUUCUCAUCUCCUUCGGGUGGGCGUGAAUGGAGAGAUGGAUGAGGAUGAGGCGGCGGAGAUAGGCGAGGACGUUUGGGUGGGCAUGGAUAGAGAUCGAGGUGGGCGAGGGCGAGGCGGCAUGGCGGAGGGCGAGAAAGGAUAAGAAUUUCAGAAAUAUUUUGAGUAUAAAAAAUAGAAUAUAAAUGAAACCCUAACGGAACACGUACUGACGGCAGGGUCAAAGUGAACAUUUUUUAUUUCUUAAGAAAUCAAAAUAUAGAUUUUUGAAUGACAGAGGGGAAAGUGAGAAAAGGGAUAUUGACUGAGAAAUUUUUUGUUAUUUAGCCAAUUUUAUUUUUAUGCUUUUCUAUGUAGUUUGGUGUUUAAAAAAAUAUCACUAUACUUUUUAUUACUCUUUUUAUCAAGCUCUUUUUUUUUUUCUUAAAUUUAUUUUCUCUGUUUUAGACGUAAAAAGUCCGAGACCAGCAAUCAAUAUAUGCCAAGAAAAAAGAGGUUUCUUUGGCCCAAGUCAACUAUGGCUUGUGCAAGAAAAAAAAAAAAAAAAACCAGCAUCCUACUACGAUUCAAAACUCUUAAACCAAAUAUUUUGCUUUUGAAACUAGAAAAUUGAUACUGACUGUCUCUAGAGCAAGUGGCAAAGGGUUUGGUGGUUGAUAUCCGAGACCCAAGUUCGAAUCUUAGUUGAUUCACAUUUUUCGCUAAGUUUAUUUCUAAAUAAAAUAAACGAAGCGGGUAGCGUGCUACCUAUCUCUCAAAAAAAUAGUAUUUUAACAUUUAUGUUUAACACUCUAUUUUUUUGUGCGACUUUACAACUUGAUAGACCCAAGAGCAAGGGAAGCGAACGCUUCUCUCUGAAAACUAAAGCUGUUAGUAGUUUAAUAUUUUAAAAAAACUUCAAAUACCACCCCUAUAGUUUCACACUAUUUUUUUUAGUACCUUGUGGUUUAAAAUGUAUCGAUUUAGUACCCCGUGGCUUUAUUUUAUUUUUUUAUUAUCCCUUCUACUAUUUUUUUUUUUCGUUAAAUCAGUCUUAAAAUUAAAACUAAAAGGCACUAAAGUGAAUAUUCGAUAAACCUAAAUAGGGUAUCUGAAGUUUUUUGUAUAUAAUUUAACGAAAUUUUAUGGAGGAGCUGACGAAAAAAGAAAAAUAAAACCACGGGGUAUUAAAUUGAUACAUUUAAACCACAGGGUAUAAGUGAAAAAGUGCGAAACCACAGGGGUGGUAUUUGAAGUUUGCCCUAAUAUUUAAUAUUUUGUUACAUGCACCACCUAAACUUUGAAAAUUAAACAUUUGCCAUCCGGACUUUUAUUUAUUUUUUUAAUCAGUAAUUAAUGACCACUUGAGUUUAUAUUCGCAUCAAUGUAGAGNCAAUGAUGCGGCUUCUAAAUCGACGAUCGGUUUUGUUAGAUUUGAUUUACACUAUUAAAAAUAUUUGAAAACUAAAUUUUAUAAUUUUUCGAUAUCAUUUGGCUAGUGAUCAAAAGAUCUCAAAAUUUUAUAAUUUUUUAGUGUGUCGUUGCUAUUGGUAUAUCUAAAAUUUCCUCAAAAGCUUUUGUGUGUUAGCUUUUUGAUGUUUUACACAUAAAUUAGUUUGUACAACACAGAUCAGCAUAUACCAGUGAAUAUAUUGGCCGGUACGUAUAUUAAGCAUUAAUCUUUUUAUUAUUUGUGUUAUUGGUAUUUGAAGCACCCACCAUAUGAUGUUUCUUUUUUUUUAUUUAAAUGUGAGCUUGCGCUAGGUCUUUGGGUAAAAUUAGUUUUAAAAUUGUUUUCUCUAAUUAAAUUUUAUUAAUAAUUAAUUAACUUCUAGAGUUGAGUGGGUAGUUGGUUGAAUAGUAUGCGGAUGAAAAUAAUUAAAGGAUAGAUCUAAUGGCAAAAAACUCGAUAGUACCAAGAAUAGUAUAAUAGCUGGACACUCUCUCUCUCUUUCUCUCUCUCUCUCUCUCUCUCUCUCUCUAUAUAUAUAUAUAUAUAUAUAGUGUGUGUGUGUGUGAGGCUACUAUGUAUAUAUAUAUAUAGUGUGUGUGUGUGUGAGGCUACUGUGCUUUUGGAAAUAUGGAGCCUUUCGUGCUUUCAGGUCGUUUUUGAUGUUGCGACUUUCGAAUCGUCGAUCGGUUUCGUUAAACUUGAUCUAGAGUAUUUGAAGUAUCUAGAAAAUAAAUUUUAUGAUUUUUCGAUAUCAUUUGCCUAGUGAUUGAAAAGGUUCAAAAUCAAUAAUUUUAAUGGCCAUAGUGAGCCGUUUGCAAGUUUAACGGUGUAGAAAUAUUCAAAUCACGUAAAAUUUUGAUAGAAAACUUUUUACACUAUAUAAAAUGAGAUUAAUAUCUGUGAUCUAAAAUUUUAAUGUCAUAUUAUCACGUUUUGUAAGAUUUUUAUUUUUAGCCGUUGAUUUUGAGCCCCUUCGUUCACUAGGCAAAUAAUAUCGAAAAAUCGCAUAAUUUAUUUUGUAGGUACUUCAAAUACUCUAGAUCAAGUUUAACGGAGCCGAUCAACGAUUCGAUAGUCAUAACAUAGAAAACAAUCUAGAAGCACGGAAGGCUUCGUACUUUCAGAAGCAUAGUAGCCUCACUCUAUAUAUAUAUAUAUAUAUAUAUAUAUAUAUAAAAUUGAGCUAGAAUACUUUUAGAAGCAACAAUCACUUGGUGCUUCUAAGUUUCUAGCCCUUGGAUCUAUUCCUUAAUUACUAAUACCCCUUAGAUCAAACACAAUUCCACCUAUCACCAUAAUCUCAACCCUGCAUCUCUCCAUUUAAUGGUUAAAAACUCAAAAGCACCACCCCUUGGUGUUUUUAAGAGUAUUCUAGCUUAACUCUCCCUCUCUCUCUCUCUCUCUCUCUCUCUAUAUAUAUAUAUAUAUAUAUAAAAUUGAGCUAGAAUACUAUCAAUAGCAAACGGGCUCUGUUACUAUCUAGUUUUCGAUGAUUUAUAUAUAAUAGUUUCAUGUUGAAUAUUGAAAAGAAUUGGACCUAUAUAUAUAAAUAAUGUAGAGUGUAUUAUCUUUUGUCUAUAAGCUUUUGGAUUGGUUUGAGUACUUUUAUAUUGUUAAUUAUUAGUAUUAAUUUAAUGUGCCAGGAUUAUUAUGUAUUUGGAGUUAUAUAUAUAAAACUCUCCCCCCCCCCUUUCUCUCCACAGGAUUAUGCAAUUGAAGCUAUAAACACCUCUCUCUCUCUCUCUCUCUCUAAAGACUAAGCCAUGUCAAGGAGGGUGUCAUCAAGUGCAGAAAUCAGGAACUUAGCUGCAGUUUCAAGCGGCCUUCUUACUGCGUUUGUAGCUGCGAAUGAUCAAACCCUUCCUCGCCUCCGAAAACAUGUCAUAGCUCCUUACGACCGCCGCUACAGGUACCCCUCUCUCUCUCUCUCUCUCUUUCUCUAAGAGUUCAAGUCAGGUGCAGGGCACAGCAACAAAUUAAAGAUCAAACGUUCAAUCUUAAUCAUUGAUUGUCUCAUUCAUUUGCAGUAAAUAUGGUAAAUAAUCUUUUCUACCAUAUUUUCUGAAUAAAAGGUAGCGAGCUACCGCUUCAUUCAUUAAGCGACAUGAACCUAACAACAGAGACGAGAUAGCCAGAAUCUCCGGUUCACAAAGAGGGCAAGUAAAAUAUAAACAUAGAAAAUAAAAAAGACAAAAAAAGAAAAAGAGAAAGGAAAGAGGAGAGGGUUGGGUUGCAGAAAUGCAUAAAUUUUUUUUGCCGUUAAUGCCAUAAUUUACUAGUCUUUCUAUUUAAGCAGCAAUUAAUUAAGGAACUGCUUAGAUUGAUCUUUCAAACUUAUUCUAUUAUAGUGUGCACUUCAUUUGAGCCGGAUUCUCCAGUAAGUUAUUUUUCUCUAUUAGUUUAAGCUUUUAGCCUUAGUUUGGUUGGGGGUUAAAGGGUGGAAUAACCUCUUAACCCCCAUUUUAUCCCCAAACACUUCUAAAAAUAGGUGGGAUUAGCUAAUUCCACCUCAAAUGGGUUAUCCUGGAUUAACUAACCACACCUAACCCCAUCAAACACCAACCAAAUAUUAUUUUCUAUUCAUAAUAACCCACUAUCCUUCUUAUCCCACCUACUCCAACCAAACACUAUUUUUCACUAUCCUGAACUAACUCCAACCCCUAAUCAAACACAAAAAUACUCUAACCCCACCUUAAUCCUAAAUUUAACCCUAUAUCUGGAAUAACUAGUUUUUCCUUAACCCCGAACCAAAUGGUAGCUUAGAGAUCUAAGCUGUUAUUCUCAUCCUAUCAGAGUA